GAUGAAGAACGUAGUGAAAUGCGAUAGGUAGUGUGAAUUGCAGAAUUCAGUGAAUCAUCGAAUCUUUGAACGCACAUUGCGCCCCUUGGUAUCCCGAGGGGCAUGCCUGUUCGAGCGUCAUUUCACCACUCAAGCCUGGCUUGGUGUUGGGCGACGUCCCCUUUGGGGACGCGCCUCGAAACGCUCGGCGGCGUGGCACCGGCUUUAAGCGUAGCAGAAUCUUUCGCUUUGGAAGUCGGGGCCCCGUCUGCCGGAGGACCUACUCGCAAGGUUGACCUCGUAUCAGGCAGGGAUACCCGCUGAACUUAAGCAUAUCAAUAAGCGGAGGA
rnacentral:misc_RNA from 1 species